rnacentral:lncRNA from 1 species
CACCAUUUUACCAUACAUAUUUUACACUGCGAUUACUCUCUACAUUCACAGUACCUCCACAAGCUCGUGGCACUUUAUCUAUUUUCCGCCACACACAAUACGGCGUCAUUUUAGCGCUCUGAUUUUGCGUCUCCUUUCAUGCAGAUGUCAUUCCCAAUCCUCAAGGCAAUAUACUAACAUUUACAUGUAAACAAAGUAACCAAGUAUAUACUCUUUAAAGCUAAUAUUCUAACUUGAUACAAACAUUCUUAACGUUGGAUUCCAUUUCUUAAGUAGUCCUGCUUAGGGUAUGGCCGCGAUAGAAACAUUUUUUGUCCGUUCUCACAUGUAAAUAUGAGCAACUUUUUAUAGUGCUCAACAAGUCCGUCUAAUGAAGAAAAUUCCCGUUGACCUAUUCGAAAGCCGUUACUGGGCAAUGCCUUGAUCCUGAAGUGCUUAAUUCGAUCUGGUGCCUUCAUCGAAACUGAGAAAUCGCCACUCU